rnacentral:lncRNA from 1 species
AGGUCAGCCUUAGUUUGGCGCUUCGAGGUAUGGCUCGGACCAAUCCCCUUUUACUAGUCAUCUCAGCGUCGCUUAACGCUAACAUUCUUGAUUUCUUGGGUAGAUAUGAUGGACCUCAGGAACCUGCGGGGAAUGCCUCGCGCUUCUGCAGCUCCUCCGUCUGAUCUUCCCGCUGCACAACCUGCGAGAGAUCCGAGUCGACCGGGGGGUUCGGAGCCCGACCGUCCAUGCAAGAGGCCGAAAACCAGGACGCCGAAGAUGCCUGCCUCUGUCACGGCUCGAGAGGCUGCUGCCAAAGCUGGG